UACGUAGGGUGCGAGCGUUGUCCGGAAUUAUUGGGCGUAAAGAGCUCGUAGGCGGUCUGUCGCGUCGGUCGUGAAAACUUGGGGCUUAACCCUGAGCUUGCGGUCGAUACGGGCAUGACUGGAGUUCGGCAGGGGAGACUGGAAUUCCUGGUGUAGCGGUGAAAUGCGCAGAUAUCAGGAGGAACACCGGUGGCGAAGGCAGGUCUCUGGGCUGACACUGACGCUCAUGCACGAAAGCGUGGGGAGCAAACAGG
rnacentral:rRNA from 1 species